AGUCGAGCGGGCGAGGUUGCUUCGGUAGCUGAGCUAGCGGCGGACGGGUGAGUAAAGCUUAGGAAUCUGCCUAUUAGUGGGGGACAACAUUCCGAAGGGGAUGCUAAUACCGCAUACGUCCUACGGGAGAAAGCAGGGGAUCUUUAUGACCUUGCGCUAAUAGAUGAGCCUAAGUCGGAUUAGCUAGUUGGUGGGGUAAAGGCCUACCAAGGCGACGAUCUGUAGCGGGUCUGAGAGGAUGAUCCGCCACACUGGGACUGAGACACGGCCCAGACUCCUACGGGAGGCAGCAGUGGGGAAUAUUGGACAAUGGGGGGAACCCUGAUCCAGCCAUGCCGCGUGUGUGAAGAAGGCCUUUUGGUUGUAAAGCACUUUAAGCGAGGAGGAGGCUUACCUGGUUAAUACCUGGGAUAAGUGGACGUUACUCGCAGAAUAAGCACCGGCUAACUCUGUGCCAGCAGCCGCGGUAAUACAGAGGGUGCGAGCGUUAAUCGGAUUUACUGGGCGUAAAGCGCGCGUAGGUGGUUAAUUAAGUCAAAUGUGAAAUCCCCGAGCUUAACUUGGGAAUUGCAUUCGAUACUGGUUAGCUAGAGUAUGGGAGAGGAUGGUAGAAUUCCAGGUGUAGCGGUGAAAUGCGUAGAGAUCUGGAGGAAUACCGAUGGCGAAGGCAGCCAUCUGG
rnacentral:rRNA from 1 species